UUUAUGGAGAGUUUGAUCCUGGCUCAGGAUGAACGCUGGCGGCGUGCCUAAUACAUGCAAGUCGAGCGAACGGACGAGAAGCUUGCUUCUCUGAUGUUAGCGGCGGACGGGUGAGUAACACGUGGAUAACCUACCUAUAAGACUGGGAUAACUUCGGGAAACCGGAGCUAAUACCGGAUAAUAUUUUGAAUCGCAUGGUUCAAAAGUGAAAGACGGUCUUGCUGUCACUUAUAGAUGGAUCCGCGCUGCAUUAGCUAGUUGGUAAGGUAACGGCUUACCAAGGC
rnacentral:rRNA from 1 species